rnacentral:sRNA from 1 species
GAUUUUCUUCUAUCAGUGGAACAUCAAACUGGGCUGGAAAGGCAUCGUUAAAGAAUCUGGAGUGAAGCACAAGGGAUUGAUUGAAAUACCCAAUCUUUCUGAGGAAAAUGAAGUAGAUGACACUGAGGUAUGUGAUCAAGUUUCUAUUUCUUUUGUUCUUUUUUCAGUCAAGCUUCUGCUACAGACAUUGGGCAUUUCGAAUAGUGUUGAUCAGACUGUGUGGUUCCUGUGUGGUAGUUCGGGUGCCUUGUGGAGGGCCUGUUUGCCGAGAAGGAUUGCCGUACUGUGGGGGCAGCGUGUUGUGUGGAGCUGGAGUGGUACAGGAAAGAGAGUAAGCCCCAGGAAGCCCUGAGCUCCCCCGAGGACCAGGCAAGGGGCCUGGGCAGCUGGCUGCACCCUCCU